rnacentral:rRNA from 1 species
CAGGCCUAACACAUGCAAGUCGCACGAGAAAUCUGGGGCUUGCUCCAGAGAGUAAAGUGGCGCACGGGUGAGUAACGCGUGGGUAAUCUACCCUGGGGUCUGGGAUAACUCACCGAAAGGUGGGCUAAUACCGGGUAAGACCACGGCUGCCCCGGCAGCAGGGGUAAGAAGGGGGCCUCUACAUGUAAGCUCCCGCCCAAGGAUGAGCCCGCGUACCAUUAGCUUGUUGGUAGGGUAACGGCCUACCAAGGCAACGAUGGUUAGCUGGUAUGAGAGGAUGGCCAGCCACACUGGAACUGGAACACGGUCCAGACUCCUACGGGAGGCAGCAGUGAGGAAGACUUGCGCAAUGGGGGAAACCCUGACGCAGCAACGCCGCGUGGGUGAAGAAGGCCUUCGGGGAGUAAAGCCCUGUCAAGUGGGAGGAACCACUACGGGUGCGAAGAGCAGCCGGGGACUGACGGGACCACUGAAGGAAGCACCGGCUAACUACCGUGCCAGCAGCCGCGG